AUGUCUCAACCUCUCCGUCUCCUUCUUCCUGCAUUCAUUCUGCCGCUGCCUUUCUCUUCCCGUGGGCUUCCUCCUCAUCCUCUCCCGUAGGUGUCGGCUGCACCCAGCCAACACGCAGUAGCACGAAGCCACUACUGUUGUGCUGCAGAUUGACCCAGGGAGAAGGAUGGUUACGAGGUGGUGAAUUGCAUUGCUUUUACCUUCUGUGCUUGUAUACGGCUGCCUUGUUGGUAUUGUUGUUCAGUGAGUGAGGUUUUGGGAGGAUUGCAAUCGGAAUUGGAGUGCAUGAGAGAUUUGGUCUUGUGGGCUUGUGAUAAGGAUCAGGGGAAGGGGGGCAAAUGUGGCUGAGUCCUUGUAGGAUUUGAGGACCUGGGUUCUUUCCAUUUUUGCUUGAUCUUAGCUGGGUAAGAGCUUUUUGGCUCACUUUUUCGAGUUUUCGAGAUUUCAUGUUCAGGGUUUGACACAUAAAUGAAGCAGGAUCACACCGUGGAGUUUAAUUUCAAUGUCUGCUGAUUGAGUGGGACAUUUGUUAGCUAAGAUUGCAACAUAAUUAUUGGUUUAGAUCUUACUGAUGUAUAAUUAACAGCUAUUGGAUUUAGUUUUUGUUUUAUAACAGUCAUAAUGGAUAAUGGCAUAAGGACUAUAUUGUGCAUUUGUUUUGCAAGUGUGCUUAUGCACCUACCCCAGAAGCCUUUGAUGUGCACCUAA
rnacentral:sRNA from 1 species